AGGGUGACAUGGGUUCCCCUGGACCACCGGGCUUACCUGGAACAACAGCCUUCUUUACCCCACACCCCAGAAUUCCUGGUGAACCUGGACCAAAAGGGGAGAAAGGAGAUC